GAAUAGCUCAGUCGGUAGAACACGAAACUCUCAGUCUCAGGGUUGUGGGUUCAAGCCCCACGUUGGGCA